rnacentral:sRNA from 2 species
CUGCACCGUGGAUCUUUGGUUUAGAUUGGAUUGCGUGAAAAGCUAACUGGAUUGCGUACCGUUUGGAUGUGGAAUUGCUCAGCAGCGGAAUGACGUGACAUCCCAUGGACCAGGGACCUGGCAGUCGUUUGAUGCCAUGGGCGUGUCCCAUGGAGUCUUUCUUUCUUUCGAUUUUAUUGUGAUUGUCCCGACUCCCUUGUUCUCGGGAUGAGCUUGUUGAUUUCUAGGGAGGAGAAAAGAAGGCUCCUGUCUGUGGGGGAUAUCCCCACGUUUCUGGGUCCUAUUUGUUAUGCGAAUACUAUUGCAAAACAUCCUCUUACUAUGCUGGUUGGAAUCGAGAUCGGCUUGCUCAACUCCCUCCAGCAUUGAGAGGAAAUUAUAAGGCUUCGCCCUCUUGAAAAACCCCUCUCCUUUCUUGGUCUCUUCUGUUCUAGUGUCGUCAUCCGAAAGGGGAUUGAUUCGCGGGCUCUCCCGAGAUCAACUCGGCUUUCCCCGGACAGCAUAUACGUACAUCCACGAAUCCGUAUCAAGCACCUUACAGCUGCAAAGACGAUCGAUGGCGACGAUGAUCAACAGUGACAUUUCCUCCAAGACCGUCCGGAAACGGAAAAGAAUCGUCUGAUGGAUGAAAAGGGGAACAAAACAUUAUUUGGUUACAAAAUUCUAGUCAAGGUAAACCGAGUAAUAUGCGCAGUAGAGUGUAUUGUUUUUCUCCAGAUGCAUUAAGCAACUGCGCUGACGCAAGCCUGUGCGGGAACUAUCCUCUGAAAAACAUUCUGACUCAAUUUGAUACCCUCAUCUAUUCUCAAUCUUAAGCGGGCGGAAUGUAUUUCCCCAUCCAUCAAUAUAGUUUACUUUGCCAACUCGGCAACCAUCAUCUCAACCGCCUCGUCACGAGCCUUGCCAUUGUCAAAAUCGAUGAUAAAAUCCCACCUCGGCAGUAAAUCCUGCUUUAGCUUUUCCAAAUCCAGCCCUGUCACCUCCCCUUUCCCAACCAUCAUGAGUCCAGUGCCCCGACUCGAUUCCACGAUACGUUGGGUGCGUGGACGGCGUACCUGGUCGUAUAUCUGCAAAGCCACGAGGGAUUCGGCGGGAGUCGUUGAGCGGCCGAGCAAGGUGGAGAGGAUAAGACUGUCCUCGAAGGACAUGCUGCAGCCGGAGCCUUGCCAUGGUGUCGUGGCAUGGGCGGCGUCUCCCAUGAUGCAUAUUGGCCCGGCUACGUACGUACGGGCAGGUGGGUGAUCCCAUAGAUAUAUGGCGGGCUGCUCGGGCUGAUCACACAGUAGCUGAAUGCCAUCCAGACGGGGGCUGUGGGAAUGAUCCUAUGUAGCUCACUUACUUCAUUUACUGCCUUUUUCAAAUGCAACGGCCAGCCUUGGUAGAGCUUCGUUAUCUCCUCCGCGCUCACCAUUCGAUGCCACUUAUCUGAUGCCUCGGCCCCUUUCUCAUAGGCGGAAAUGAGAACCUGCACCAGCUGCCCCCGGUUCAAGAUAUUAUGCAUCAGAUACGUGCCAUCGCCAACCCACAUGUGUUCGCGCGCGUCAUCGAUAUCGACAGGGCCCUCACCAAGACUAGCCCGGGCAUCUGCGUACGGCUUCAAGGCCAUGACCGCCCACCAACCAGCAUUCCUCGGAUACGCCGCGGGGUCCCCCUCUCCGAGCACGAUCCUACGCACCGUACUAUGAAUUCCGUCAGCGCCAACAAGGAUGUCGCAUUCAUGCGUAGUCCCGUCCGUGAAAUGGAGCAUGACAGGCCCAUCAUCGCCUGCCCUUUCGACUCGGUCUAGCUUCUUGGACGCAUGCAGACGCUCUGGAGGAACGCCGUCGAGCAACUCCCGCAAUAAUGCGGCCCGAUGCACAAUGCUCACCAGAGCCUUGCCGCUGUCGUCUCUUGCCUCGUCAAUGAGCUUGUUCCGUCCCUCGCCUUGAGCAAGCAGGAAGCGAACACCCCGCUGCGAGACUGCGCCGGCACGCUCCAGGCAUUGGCUGGCCGAGGCGCCGAUGAGGUCCAGCGCGGCAAGACCGUUCCGAGCAACACCGACAGCGGCACCGGCUUCUCUGAACUCGGCGGCUGACUCGAAGAUGUGGACGUCCAAAUGCGGGUAUUUCAGCAGAGCGUGCAAGAGAGAGGCGCCCGCCAUGCCACCUCCCGAUAUAGCGAUUCGGAUGGACCUGGCCAUGUCGUCUAUCUAACUCGCAAUCACGGACUGAGGUUAUCGUUUUUGUUUAGACAAGCAGGGGAAACUAUUCUGCCAGAUGUUGUGUAUGUGCUGUAUAUAUAUAUAUUUGUAUCUCUAUCGCUAUUUAUAUAUCUCCUCAAUCCUUUCUGAUUAGUGCCAUAGUUAGCACUAGCCAAGCAGCAGUGUUGAACCAAUGGACCAAAUUCGGCCAUAAGACGGCUGGCAUCCUAUCAGCCUCACACGGAACCUUUACUCACAUAGUAUAUACACAUCCGAUCAGCCUCACACGGAACCUUUACUCACAUAGUAUACAAAGUGCGCCCGCCCACUCACUCGCAGCUAGGGGCCCCCCUGUUCCAACUGUUCCCCCCGAUUAUCGGAGCGCCCGUCACCCCUGACCUUGCUAAGGCAGUGGCUAGUCCCUGUCACACACUUACUACUGCUAUGAAUAGCAGGUUACACGUCGGCUGACCCCUUGGGUGACUGACCUGACCUACGCUAGUGUAGGUCACCUGACCCUAUAGAAAUGGUGACUAGUCAAAGGGUCAGUUGAGCUCCUUACCAACUUGAUCUCUUACAAGCUCUUACCAACUGCCCUGAGCCUCUGCUAGCACCCCCAUCAUCAAUACUAGUCCACUACUAAUCACUCAAUUUUAUAUAAGACAGACUCACAGAGUGAAGUAA